GCUGGGUGUGGUGGUCACGCUUGUAAUCCCGGCGUCUCAGGAGGCUGAGGCAGGAGAAUCUUGAGCUCAAAGCAAAAACGAGGUGCUGAGCAACUCAGUGAGACCCUGUCUCUA
rnacentral:sRNA from 1 species